rnacentral:rRNA from 1 species
GGACCAGACUCCUACGGGAGGCAGCAGUGGGGAAUAUUGCACAAUGGGGGAAACCCUGAUGCAGCGACGCCGCGUGAGCGAAGAAGUAUUUCGGUAUGUAAAGCUCUAUCAGCAGGGAAGAUAAUGACGGUACCUGACUAAGAAGCUCCGGCUAAAUACGUGCCAGCAGCCGCGGUAAUACGUAUGGAGCAAGCGUUAUCCGGAUUUACUGGGUGUAAAGGGAGCGCAGACGGCAGGGCAAGUCUGAUGUGAAAGUCUGGGGCUCAACCCCGGGACUGCAUUGGAAACUGUCCGGCUAGAGUGCAGGAGAGGUAAGUGGAAUUCCUAGUGUAGCGGUGAAAUGCGUAGAUAUUAGGAGGAACACCAGUGGCGAAGGCGGCUUACUGGACUGUAACUGACGUUGAGGCUCGAAAGCGUGGGGAGCAAACAGGAUUAGAUACCCGAGUA